rnacentral:rRNA from 1 species
AGGGAGUGCCUUCGGGAGCCAGGAGACAGGUGGUGCAUGGCUGUCGUCAGCUCGUGUCGUGAGAUGUUGGGAUUAAGUUCCGCAACGAGCGCAACCCUCGUUGCCUGUUGCCAGCACGUGAUGGUGGGCACUCAGGCGAGACUGCCGCAGCAAUGUGGAGGAAGGUGGGGAUGACGUCAAGUCAGCAUGCCCCGUACGCCCUGGGCUACACACAUACUACAAUGCGAGGAGCAAACAGUUGCGAACCCGCGAGGGGGAGCUAAUCUGAGAAGGCCUCGCUCAGUGCAGAUUGCAGGCUGCAACUCGCCUGCAUGAAGGCGGAAUCGCUAGUAACCGUCGGUCAGCAUUACGACGGUGAAUACGUUCCCGGGCCUU